rnacentral:siRNA from 1 species
UUCGGUAUUAGAAAUGCUGGUGA